rnacentral:rRNA from 1 species
GAUGAACGCUAGCGGCAUGCCUAACACAUGCAAGCCGAGCGGAAUUUGUUUGUUAUUUUGCUAACUAACAAUGAGGGCGGCGUACGUGUGCCUAGCGCGUGUUCAACCUGCCUUUAUCUGAAGUUUAGCAUAUCGAAAGGAAUAUUGAUACGCCAUAACAUAUUCAUUGGGAUCAUUGGAUAUUUAAAGCGCCUGCGGAUAGAGAUGGGGACGCGUAGGAUUAGCUAGUUGUUGAGGUAACGGCUCACUAAGGCUGCGAUCUUUAGGGGGCCUGAGAGGGUGAUCCCCCACACUGGUACUGGGACACGGACCACACACCUACGGGAGGGAGGCGUGAGGAAUACAGGACAAGGGAUGAGAGCCUGAUCGAGCCAUGCCGGAUGCAGGAAUAACGAGUUAGGGAUUGUAACCUUCUUUGAUAAAGGGACAAUCCUACGCGCGUGAGGGUAGCUGAAGGUACUGUAUAAAUAAGCACCGGCUAACUACGUG